CCCUUAGAUGUUCUGGGCUGCACACGUGCUACACUGGCAGGUUCAGCGAGCUUCAUGCCCUGAUCUGAAAGGAAUGGGAAAUCUUUUCAAAACCUGCCGUGCUUGGGAUAGAUGUUUGCAAUUAUUCAUCUUCAACGAGGAUUGCCUUGUAAGCGCACGUCAUCAGCGUGCAUUGAAUACGACCCUGUAUUCUGUACACACCGCCCGUCGCUCCUACCGAUUGAAGUUUUCGGUGAGUUGACAGGAGGAUUUUUUCGAAACUGGUUCGCCAGUGGAUUUUAGAUCCAAAUGCCAACGAAUCGAUGGCUUUAGAGGAAGGAGAAGUCGUAACA
rnacentral:rRNA from 1 species